rnacentral:rRNA from 1 species
UACGUAGGGUGCAAGCGUUAAUCGGAAUUACUGGGCGUAAAGCGUGCGCAGGCGGUUAUGUAAGACAGGUGUGAAAUCCCCGGGCUUAACCUGGGAACUGCAUUUGUGACUGCAUCGCUGGAGUGCGGCAGAGGGGGAUGGAAUUUCGCGUGUAGCAGUGAAAUGCGUAGAUAUGCGGAGGAACACCGAUGGCGAAGGCAAUCCCCUGGGCCUGCACUGACGCUCAUGCACGAAAGCGUGGGGAGCAAACAGG